ensembl:lncRNA
GGGCAAGGUCUGGGACUCCUGUCCCAGAGAAGUUGAUCUAAAAAGCGCUUGGUCUCUCCUAAGGAAGAGCUGUUCUUGCUUCUGUGUGUGUGUGUGUGUGUGUGUGUGUGUUGAGAGGAUGGUAUACUGGGAGGUCCUGCUUUGGCCCAGGAGGAACUAGGAGAGAACCAUACAGAGGCUGAAGUCCUUCUUUCCCUUGAUGCUCAUGGGUAACACUCAGGCUGGGAAGAUGUAGAAGCACAUAAUGUCCUCAAGAGGAGGAAGAAAAUUUCCCACCAUUGUUCCACAGGUACAGAGACCUCUCAUUCCUUCCUGGCAGCUGGAAAAACCAAAAGCUUGACCUGAUCCAUAAGUGUAAACAGAGUUGAGAGCAGGUAAGGAAAAAAAUACGUGUAAGGAGAACCAGCAACUAGAGGACAACCAAGGACACCCAGAAGUAGUUCUCAGGAAAACAGAACUUUUAGAAAAGACAGAAGUCAACUUUGACGAAAACAACAAUAGUAGGAGCAAAAAUUCAAGGAGACUUUAUCAUAGCAUAGGAAAGAUUUUUCUAGUACCUCACCCCCCCAAAAAAAAUCAAUAUAUCAACUAAAAAUGAGAAUAAUCACUUGUUGAGAACCAAAUUAGCAGCAUAGGAAAUCAAACAGAAGAAAUAUUUUAAAAUAGAGCAGAAAUAUAAAGUAAUUAAAAUGAAAAUUGUGGCUCUUCUCCCAAAAAUAUAUCUGAAAAUAAAGCUAUAUCUGAAAAUAAAAUUUUGUGUAAACUUUCAAGGAUUUGCAGAUGCACCUAAAGUAUAUCUGUGGACCCUAUGACAUAAAAAUGCAACUGAAGAUGAAAAUCCAGUUUAAAACAUGGUUUUAACUUAAAAAAUAAACGAGUCUGUCUAAGCAUCAGGAUGUCUCUCGUUACCCAAAAGCUCUCUCCAGGCCGUCGGUCUGCUCUUGCCCGGACCCUCAGACCUAUCCCUUCUGACAAUGGCCAAGAGUGGUGGGGACUGCAUUUACUGUUGGGUCCGUUAUAAGUAAGCAGGCUUCCCCACUGGAGAGCGGGGUGUAGAGAAGCUCUCCUGUCUUUUCUGAGAGGCCUUGGAGAACACUGCCCCCCGGCCUUUCGGCUGCUUUCCUGCCUCUCACUCCCCAGUCGUCUCAUCCGACAUGGCAGCACCCACAGUUGCCCCGACAGUUAGAUGAGUCUUUGCGAGGAAGGGCCUGAGUCGCCCUCCCCUCCACGUCACAUCUGUGUCUGCGCAUUCUCCGUAAAUCCUCCAUCAUCUAUACUUCCGCCUUCCAUCGUGGCUUUCCUGCAAGCAGUUUACUGAAGAAUUCUAUAGAGAUUUGUAAUUAAAGUUGCAUCCAUGUGGCACAGCUGAGAUUCAAACUCUGACUUCAAAUCCAGGAAUUUCAGACAUCAGCAAGCAGAUCAGGAGAUACUUUGCCGACAGACAAGGUCUACCAGAAAGACGCUUCUGAAGCCAUUCUUCCUUAUUUCUUCUAAUGCCGUUUCCAGGAGGGGUUCAGUUGAAGAUAACAGAAACCACUCUCGUCAGGAUAAGCAGAAAGGGAUUUAUCACCAGUUCUGAAGACUGGGAAAGCCAAGAUCAAGGUGUCAGGAGAUCCAGUGUCUGAAGAACCUCAAGAAAAAACCAUGCUGUUUCUUUCAAUGAUGAUCUAGUCUGGUGGAAACUGAACUUGCCACCUGAUAUCCCCACCGUCCGUGUAAGCGUUGUCCCUGAAGUACUUGAGGGCUCCCAAGGUGCCUGCCCUCCUCCUGCUUCGCCAGGGGUCCUCGGAACAAGUGCCCUAUUUCGUCUCCAUGGUACGACCUGCGAAACGGAGGUUACACAUUGGUUUUACACGUUGAGAAGGAGUGGUUGUGAAGGAGGAGGAAAAGGAAGGGAGAGCAGGGGGCAGAGAGAAGACAAAGGUUUGGGCCCUGCAGCCUGACGUGGGUCAGCAAGUGCUCUCGCCCAGGCCUCUGCCCCGGGAGCUGGACCCACGGCCAGGAUCUUGUCCCUGCAAGGCCAGCGUGCCCCGAAACCUGGCCUGAGGAGGACAUCAAUGGAAAUUCACACAACAGGAUGGUAAACAUGAUAAGUUGCUCGUAGUGGAAUUGCUGGGCCAAAGGGUAUUUUUAAGCCUUAAUUCCUAUCACCAAAUGGCUCUCCAAAAAGCUUUUACAUUUGGACGCUCCUGCCAUCGGAUCCUGCGAACAUCUGUUUCCACAUGCUGGUCCUCCUCUCCUCUCUCCACUUGGGCCAUGGCAUUCUUCAUAUGCUUUGUUGAUCUGGAAAAGAGAAGCUAAAUGAUAUUACUCAUUGUCAGCAAGAGUGAGGCCGAGGUGGGCUAGCCCAUAUUUGCAUAAAUCAGUAUUUCUCUGGUGCACACAGAUAAUAUCUGUCAAAAAGCUGUCUUUAGUAACCAUGUAGCUCUUGCACAGUUGGGUGGUUUAGCUAAGGAUACAAGAAAGACUACAUCUUAGGGUGUGGCUGAACCACCUGAGGGAACGAGCCUGGAUCCUUGAAUCACUGCAUGGGCAGAGAAGAAGGCACUUCCAGACAUGAAUACCCUGUGGCCUCAUAUGUGCAUAAGAGAGAAACCUGUGUUCUGUUCAGCCGCUGAAAUUUGAAGAUUUACUUAUUACAGCAGCAAAAAUUAUUCUAGUGCAUACACUCCCGUACCUACUUUGUGCUUCAGCAGUAACAACCGAUGUGCAAUUUCCCAGGUCAGCUGUGCAGCACUUCCACGUGUUUCUGCACGCUGAUCUCUCUGCUUUUGAUACCUAAUUUUCUCCAGUCUCCUAAUUCUAUCUAGUCUCUCUCCUUUCUGACCCUUUGGCCUUGAUCAGCUUGUAUUAAUCCUUAAAAUCCCAGUUCCUAAGCUUCUGUGAAGCACUGUUAUGACAGUGGGCCCCAUUCCUGCCAUGGACUUCCUGAGUUUGUCCAGAAUUCCACUUUAGCACAUGUCACAAUAUUUUAAAAUUCUCUGUUUAUAAAUAUGUCAACCUUACAACAUAGACAUUUGCCGUGUUUCUACACUUCAAAUCUCUUAGAAGAGUGGUGCUACAUAAGAGAUAAUUUAUGACUAUAUGCUGGGUCCCUAUCUAAUUAGUAUUUUGUUUAUUUUAAGUUAAUCUCAUCCAUGGAGGAUCAGAAACAGAAUCUGUUCACCACUGGAAGAUGGGGACGGCAAUGAAGGGAAGGAAUUUUGGUGUGUGAGCCUGGUUACUCACUGAAUCAUAACAUAACAGCAACACAAGCUUGCAAGUGAGAAAACAAGAGAAAAACACAUGCACUUCCACAGAUUUCUAAAUUUGGCAGAAGUUCGAAGGGAACACAGAUCCUGAUAUAGGGUCAAGGCCUGACUCCUUAGGUUGAGACC